AGCAGCAGGCGCGCAAAUUACCCACUCCCGGCACGGGGAGGUAGUGACGAAAAAUAACGAUACGGGACUCAUCCGAGGCCCCGUAAUCGGAAUGAGCACACUUUAAACCCUUUAACGAGUAUCCAUUGGAGGGCAAGUCUGGUGCCAGCAGCCGCGGUAAUUCCAGCUCCAAUAGCGUAUAUUAAAGUUGUUGCGGUUAAAAAGCUCGUAGUUGGAUGUGUGUCCCACGCUGUCGGUUCACCGUUCGUCGGUGUUUAACUGGCAUGCCCGUGUGGACGUCCUGCCGGUGGAUGCGGUCGGCCGUGGGCUUCGGUCUGCGCGUCGGCGGUCCGAUGCAAUCCUACCGCGGUGCUCUUCACCGAGUGUCGAGGUGGGCCGGCACGUUUACUUUGAACAAAUUAGAGUGCUUAAAGCAGGCAGUGGUUCGCCUGAAUAUUGUGUGCAUGGAAUAAUGGAAUAGGACCUCGGUUCUAUUUUGUUGGUUUUCGGAACUUGAGGUAAUGAUUAAUAGGGACAAAUGGGGGCAUUCGUAUUGCGACGUUAGAGGUGAAAUUCUUGGAUCGUCGCAAGACGAACCUAAGCGAAAGCAUUUGCCAUAAGUGUUUUCAUUAAUCAAGAACGAAAGUUAGAGGUUCGAAGGCGAUCAGAUACCGCCCUAGUUCUAACCAUAAACGAUGCCAGCUAGCGAUCCGCCGAAGUUCCUCCGAUGACUCGGCGGGCAGCUUCCGGGAAACCAAAGCUUUUGGGUUCCGGGGGAAGUAUGGUUGCAAAGCUGAAACUUAAAGGAAUUGACGGAAGGGCACCACCAGGAGUGGAGCCUGCGGCUUAAUUUGACUCAACACGGGAAACCUCACCAGGCCCGGACACCGGANGGAUUGACAGAUUGAGAGCUCUUUCUUGAUUCGGUGGAUGGUGGUGCAUGGCCGUUCUUAGUUGGUGGAGCGAUUUGUCUGGU
rnacentral:rRNA from 1 species